rnacentral:misc_RNA from 1 species
AAGUCGUAACAAGGUCUCCGUUGGUGAACCAGCGGAGGGAUCAUUACUGAGUUGCAAAACUCCAAAACCCUAUGUUUAUCUAUCUCGAAAACGUCUGCUUCGGCGCCGGGCGCCCGCCGGAGAGGACAACCCAAAACUCUUGUUUUCAAUGAAACUCUGAGCAUAAAAGACAAAUAGUCAAAACUUUCAACAACGGAUCUCUUGGUUCUG